AGUGAACGCUGGCGGUAGGCCUAACACAUGCAAGUCGAACGGCAGCACAGUAAGAGCUUGCUCUUACGGGUGGCGAGUGGCGGACGGGUGAGGAAUACAUCGGAAUCUACUUUUUCGUGGGUGAUAACGUAGGGAAACUUACGCUAAUACCGCAUACGACCUACGGGUGAAAGCAGGGGAUCUUCGGACCUUGCGCGAUUGAAUGAGCCGAUGUCGGAUUAGCUAGUUGGCGGGGUAAAGGCCCACCAAGGCGACGAUCCGUAGCUGGUCUGAGAAGAUGAUCAGCCACACUGGAACUGAGACACGGUCCAGACUCCUACGGGAGGCAGCAGUGGGGAAUAUUGGACAAUGGGCGCAAGCCUGAUCCAGCCAUACCGCGUGGGUGAAGAAGGCCUUCGGGUUGUAAAGCCCUUUUGUUGGGAAAGAAAAGCAGCAGGUUAAUACCCCGCUGUUCUGACGGUACCCAAAGAAUAAGCACCGGCUAACUUCGUG
rnacentral:rRNA from 1 species